rnacentral:rRNA from 1 species
AACACAUGCAAGUCGAGCGGUAACAGGCGUAGCAAUACGUGCUGACGAGCGGCGAACGGGUGCGUAAUACAUGGGAAUCUGCCUUUUAGUGGGGAAUAACCCGGCGAAAGCCGGGCUAAUGCCGCAUAAGAUCUUCGGAUGAAAGCGGGGGAUCGUAAGACCUCGCGCUGAUAGAUGAGCCCAUGCCGGAUUAGCUAGUUGGUGAGGUAACGGCUCACCAAGGCGACGAUCCGUAGCUGGUCUGAGAGGACGGCCAGCCACACUGGGACUGAGACACGGCCCAGACUCCUACGGGAGGCAGCAGUGGGGAAUAUUGGACAAUGGGCGAAAGCCUGAUCCAGCGACGCCGCGUGUGUGAAGAAGGCCUGCGGGUUGUAAAGCACUUUCGAUGGGAACGAAAUGUGCCGGGCUAAUACCCCGGCAAGCUGACGUUACUCAAUGAAGAAGCA